rnacentral:rRNA from 1 species
AAGUCGUAACAAGGUUUCCGUAGGUGAACCUGCGGAAGGAUCAUUAUCGUACAACGGAGGUGCCUAGGGCUGUCGCUGACCUUCACAGGUCGUGCACGCCCAAAGCGCUCUCUCUGAUGUCCAUCUCACCCCUUUGUGCAUCACCGCGUGGGCCCCCCUAUUGGGCUUGUUCCGAUGGGGGGUUCGCGUUUUUACACAGACAACCUUUAUUAAUGAAUGUGUAGAAUGUCUUACUUUUUGCAAUCACACGCAAUCAAUAUAACUUUCAACAACGGAUCUCUUGGCUCUCGCAUCGAUGAAGAACGCAGCGAAAUGCGAUACGUAAUGUGAAUUGCAGAAUUCAGUGAAUCAUCGAAUCUUUGAACGCACCUUGCGCCCCUUGGUAUUCCGAGGGGCACACCCGUUUGAGUGUCGUGAACAUCCUCAACCUUCUUGGUUUCUCAACCGGGGAAGGCUUGGACUUUGGAGGUUUUCUCUUGCUGGCCUUCCUUUGAAGCCGGCUCCUCCUAAAUGGAUUAGUGGGGUCCGCUUUGCCGAUCCUUGACGUGAUAAGCGUGCUUCUACGUCUUGGGUUUCGCACUGCCUCGGCCUGGAACCCGCUUCCAACGGUCUCUCUUUUGAAAGAC